rnacentral:rRNA from 1 species
CUGGCUCAGGAUGAACGCUGGCGGCGUGCUUAACACAUGCAAGUCGAACGGAGUAUUAAACGGAAGUUUUCGGAUGGAAGUUUAGAACUUAGUGGCGGACGGGUGAGUAACGCGUGGGUAACCUGCCUCAUACAGGGGGAUAACAGUUAGAAAUGACUGCUAACACCGCAUAAUAUAGCGAAACCGUAUGAUUUUGCUAUCAAAUAUUUAUAGGUAUGAGAUGGGCCCGCGUCUGAUUAGCUAGUUGGUGGGGUAAAAGCCUACCAAGGCGACGAUCAGUAGCCGGCUUGAGAGAGUGACCGGCCACAUUGGGACUGAGACACGGCCCAAACUCCUACGGGAGGCAGCAGUGGGGAAUAUUGGACAAUGGGGGAAACCCUGAUCCAGCCGACGCCGCGUGAGUGAAGAAGUAUUUCGGUAUGUAAAGCUCUAUCAGCAGGGAAGAUAAUGACAGUACCUGACUAAGAAGCCCCGGCUAACUACGUGCCAGCCGCCGC